rnacentral:misc_RNA from 1 species
GAUGAAGAACGUAGCGAAAUGCGAUAAGUAAUGUGAAUUGCAGAAUUCAGUGAAUCAUCGAGUCUUUGAACGCACAUUGCGCCCCCUGGUAUUCCGGGGGGCAUGCCUGUCCGAGCGUCAUUGCCGCCCUCAAGCACGGCUUGUGUGUUGGGCCCCCGCCCCCCGGCUUCGGGGGGCGGGCCCGAAAGGCAGCGGCGGCACCGCGUCCGGUCCUCGAGCGUAUGGGGCUUCGUCACCCGCUCUGUAGGCCCGGCCGGCGCCCGCCGGCGACCCCAAUCAAUCUUUCCAGGUUGACCUCGGAUCAGGUAGGGAUACCCGCUGAACUUGAGCAUAUCAAUAAGCGGAGGA